rnacentral:lncRNA from 1 species
UUUUGGUAAAGGAACCAUGCUGUUCCAACCAAUCAGAGAGCUUCUAGGACCCAGCGAAUAGACGAAUCAUUGCGCAUGGCGUUAGUCUACUAUCGAAACUCGUGACGGAAGGAUACGUUACACCGGUACAAAAUAUCGUUCGAUUGUCAGCAUGAUUUCGAGAUAUAAGAGCCAAUCGAAUUACGUAUACGAAAAUCAACUGGCCUAGUAUUUGUAUAGAAUACGAGGAAUUUGGAGGUCGAGUUUACAUUUGAUGUUUGUUGUCGAUCUCUCGACGAGCAUAUCCCUUCCAUACGAAUUUCGAUAAUCGAGCCGCGAGCCAUGUCAUUGUGUCUUUGAAAUUCGUGCCGAUUAGACGCUUCGAUUUGUAACAGAAGCUAAUUGUCGACAGCUCUAAAAAGGAUAAAAGGAUUCAAAUAUGGACGCCAUAAUGACUUGUAAAUUUCGACGCAAUAAAAUGGUGACUUUUUGAAGACAAGUGGUAACAUUUUUGUACGAAAAAUACGUACAUUUUUAUCUUCUUUUUAUUUGAUUGUCAAGUAAUUCAUAAUAUAUCGAUACAAUAAUUGUGAAUAUUAAAGUGGAAGAGAUUAAAUAAAUUAAAUUUUUAUUUCAAAUAUUUUUUUAAUUUUAAAUAGAUUAAAUUUAUUUUUUCAAUAACUUUCAAUUUAUAGAAACAGUUUUCAGAAUAAUAAUAGAAUAAUAACGUAGUUUCUUGAACAAAUGCCUGAUAGAAAAAAGAAAGAAAAUGUUGGAACGAUAUUUUCUUUUUUUUUUAUCCCACUUUUCCCUAUUUUGACCGCGCGCAAUGCGGUUAGUAGAAUCAGUGUUUUUUUCGUGACAGUAUUUUCAAUAUUCUUUAGAGCAAUAGCUCUAAUUUAAUUAUUAUAAUAUCUCGCGAAAGUAGAAUCAGUGUUUGUUCGCCGAUUGUAAUUCAAACGGACGGGUCAGUAGUCUUUUAUUUUAUUUUAUUUUUCUUUAAAUAUUCGUUUUCGGUAUAGGGUAGAGUCAGUGCAUCAAGAGAAUAAGGCGAUCAUCCAUCACGCGAAGAGGAGCUGAUAAACUUUAUGGAGAUUUGAAAGACAUUUGUGGCCGCGUGCAAUGCGGUUAAUAGAGUCAGUGUUUUUUUCGUGACAGUAUUUUUAAUAUUUUUUAGAGCAAAACAGCUCUGAUUAAAUAUAAUUAGAAUGAUCAAACGCGAAAAUAGAAUCAGUGUUUGCUCGCCGAUUAUAUUAUAAUGUAAAACCGACGCGUUAUUAGCUUCUUAUUUUUAUUUUUUUAAAUUUAUAUUCGUUUUCGGUACAGGGUAGAGUCAGUGUAUCAAGAGAAUAAGGCGAUC